rnacentral:rRNA from 1 species
UACGAAGGGGGCUAGCGUUGUCCGGAUUUAUUGGGCGUAAAGAGCUCGUAGGCGGCUCGGUAAGUCGGGUGUGAAACCUCCAGGCUCAACCUGGAGACGCCACCCGAUACUGCUGUGGCUAGAGUCCGGUAGGGGAGCGUGGAAUUCCUGGUGUAGCGGUGAAAUGCGCAGAUAUCAGGAGGAACACCAGCGGCGAAGGCGGCGCUCUGGGCCGGAACUGACGCUGAGGAGCGAAAGCGUGGGUAGCAAACAGG